rnacentral:rRNA from 1 species
CCUACGGGCGGCAGCAGUGAGGAAUAUUGGUCAAUGGGCGCGAGCCUGAACCAGCCAAGUAGCGUGAAGGAUGACUGCUCUACGGGUUGUAAACUUCUUUUAUAAAGGAAUAAAGUGAGGCACGUGUGCCUUUUGGUAUGUAUUUUAUGAUUAAGGAUCGGCCAACUCCGUGCCAGCGGCCGCGGUAAUACGGAGGUUCCGAGCGUUAUCCGGAUUUAUUGGGUUGAAAGGGAGAGUAGACGGGUUGUUAAGUCAGUGGUGAAAGUUUGCGGCUCAACCGUGAAAUUGCAAUUGAUACUGGCAGCCUUGAGUACAGGAGAGGUAAGCGGAAUUCGUGGUGUAGCGGUGAAAUGCUUAGAUAUCACGAAGAACUCCGAUGGCGAAGGCAGCCUACUAAACUGCCACUGACAUUGAUGCUCGAAAGUGUGGGUAUCAAACAGGAUUAGAUACUCCUGUAGUC